GACAGAGGUGCCAAGCGUUAGGCGGAAUCACGUGGGCUUAAAGCGUGUGUAGGCGGAAUUGUAAGUACCUUGUGCAAAUCCCACGGCUCAACCGUGGAACUGCUCGGUAUACUGCUUUUCUUGAGCCACUUAGGGGCUGUCGGAACAAACGGUGGAGCGGUGAAUGCGUUGAUAUCAUCAGGACACCAGAGGCGAAGGCGGCUCACUCGGGUCUCUUCUGACGCUGAGGAACGAAAGGCUAGGGGGAGCAAACGGG
rnacentral:rRNA from 1 species